rnacentral:miRNA from 1 species
ACAGGGCUGGGCACAUAGUAGGUGCUCAGUAAGUAUUUCUGAAUGAAUGCAUGAGAGCACUGAGGCUCAGAGGGAUCAAGCAGCUUGCU